rnacentral:rRNA from 1 species
GGCUCGAAAGAGAGCCGUAACACAGGUGCUGCAUGGCUGUCGUCAGCUCGUGUCGUGAGAUGUUGGGUUAAGUCCCGCAACGAGCGCAACCCUUGUCAUUAGUUGCUACAUUCAGUUGGGCACUCUAAUGAGACUGCCGGUGACAAGCCGGAGGAAGGUGGGGAUGACGUCAAGUCCUCAUGGCCCUUAUAGGUGGGGCUACACACGUCAUACAAUGGCUGGUACAAAGGGUUGCCAACCCGCGAGGGGGAGCCAAUCCCAUAAAGCCAGUCGUAGUCCGGAUCGUAGUCUGCAACUCGACUACGUGAAGUCGGAAUCGCUAGUAAUCGUGGAUCAGAAUGUCACGGUGAAUACGUUCCCGGGUCUU